AUAAUGGGUCAGCGACUUAUAUUCUGUAGCAAGGUUAACCGAAUAGGGGAGCCGAAGGGAAACCGAGUCUUAACUGGGCGUUAAGUUGCAGGGUAUAGACCCGAAACCCGGUGAUCUAGCCAUGGGCAGGUUGAAGGUUGGGUAACACUAACUGGAGGACCGAACCGACUAAUGUUGAAAAAUUAGCGGAUGACUUGUGGCUGGGGGUGAAAGGCCAAUCAAACCGGGAGAUAGCUGGUUCUCCCCGAAAGCUAUUUAGGUAGCGCCUCGUGAAUUCAUCUCCGGGGGUAGAGCACUGUUUCGGCAAGGGGGUCAUCCCGACUUACCAACCCGAUGCAAACUGCGAAUACCGGAGAAUGUUAUCACGGGAGACACACGGCGGGUGCUAACGUCCGUCGUGAAGAGGGAAACAACCCAGACCGCCAGCUAAGGUCCCAAAGUCAUGGUUAAGUGGGAAACGAUGUGGGAAGGCCCAGACAGCCAGGAUGUUGGCUUAGAAGCAGCCAUCAUUUAAAGAAAGCGUAAUAGCUCACUGGUCGAGUCGGCCUGCGCGGAAGAUGUAACGGGGCUAAACCAUGCACCGAAGCUGCGGCAGCGACGCUUAUGCGUUGUUGGGUAGGGGAGCGUUCUGUAAGCCUGCGAAGGUGUGCUGUGAGGCAUGCUGGAGGUAUCAGAAGUGCGAAUGCUGACAUAAGUAACGAUAAAGCGGGUGAAAAGCCCGCUCGCCGGAAGACCAAGGGUUCCUGUCCAACGUUAAUCGGGGCAGGGUGAGUCGACCCCUAAGGCGAGGCCGAAAGGCGUAGUCGAUGGGAAACAGGUUAAUAUUCCUGUACU
rnacentral:rRNA from 1 species